rnacentral:rRNA from 1 species
UGGUGAUUUUAGCGAAGUGGUCACACCUGUUCCCAUCUCGAACACAGAAGUUAAGCACUUUAGCGGC